rnacentral:rRNA from 1 species
CGGGUGAGUAAUGUAUGGGGAUCUGCCUGAUGGGGGGGGAUAACUACUGGAAACGGUAGCUAAUACCGCAUAAUGUCUACGGACCAAAGCGGGGGACCUCCGGGCCUCGCGCCAUCAGAUGAACCCAUAUGGGAUUAGCUAGUAGGUGAGGUAACGGCUUACCUAGGCGACGAUCCCUAGCUGGUCUGAGAGGAUGAUCAGCCACACUGGGACUGAGACACGGCCCAG